rnacentral:rRNA from 1 species
UACGUAGGGUGCGAGCGUUGUCCGGAAUUACUGGGCGUAAAGGGCGCGUAGGCGGCCUGCUAAGUCGAACGUGAAAUCCCCGAGCUCAACUCGGGAACUGCGUCCGAUACUGACAGGCUUGAAUCCGGGAGAGGGAUGCGGAAUUCCAGGUGUAGCGGUGAAAUGCGUAGAUAUCUGGAGGAACACCAGUAGCGAAGGCGGCACUCUGGGCCGGUACUGACGCUGAGGAGCGAAAGCGUGGGGGAGCGAAACAGG